rnacentral:rRNA from 1 species
GGGAGCGUAGGCGGCCUGAUAAGUCAGUGGUGAAAUCUCUCGGCUUAACCGAGAAAUUGCCAUUGAUACUGUUAGGCUUGAGUACAGUUGCCGUUGGCGGAAUAUGACAUGUAGUGGUGAAAUACAUAGAGAUGUCAUAGAACACCGAUUGCGAAGGCAGCUAACGAAACUGUAACUGACGCUGAGGCUCGAAAGUGCGGGGAUCAAACAGGAUUAGAUACCCUGGUAGUCCGCACUGUAAACGAUGAUUACUCGCUGCUAGGGGGCAACCUUUAGUGGCUUAGCGAAAGCGAUAAGUAAUCCACCUGGGGAGUACGCCGGCAACGGUGAAACUCAAAGGAAUUGA